rfam:Glycine soja cultivar W05 scaffold829_49, whole genome shotgun sequence.
CUUUUAUUGGAUGUUGACAGUCAUGUGUCGCAGGUUUAUUGAACGUUAAUUUUGUGCACCUAAUUAACGUCAACCUCCAAUAAAAUCGUGACACGUGGUGGUCAACGUCC